GACGAACGCUGGCGGCGUGCCUAAUACAUGCAAGUCGAGCGAGUCUGCCUUGACGAUCUGCGUGCUUGCACUCUGUGAUACAAGAUACAGGCUAGCGGCUGACGGGUGAGUAACACGUGGGUAACCUGCCCAAGAGAUCGGGAUAACACCUGGAAACAGAUGCUAAUACCGGAUAACAACAGAUGAUGCCUAUCAACUGUUUAAAAGAUGGUUCUGCUAUCACUCUUGGAUGGACCUGCGGUGCAUUAGCUAGUUGGUAGGGUAACGGCCUACCAAGGCGAGGAUGAGGAGACGAGAGGAGAGGGCGAGCGGCCAGAUUGGGAGUGAGACACGGCAGAGAAGAGUAAGGGAGGAAGCAGUGGGGAAUAUUGCAAAAUGGAGGAAACUAUGAUGGAGCGACGCCGCGGGAGUGAAGAAGUAAUUCGUGAUGUAAAGCUCUAUCAGCAGGGAAGAUAGUGACGGUACCUGACGAAGAAGCGCCGGCUAAAUACGUG
rnacentral:rRNA from 1 species